CUGAGUACAGAGAAGGGCACCUGGCACUGUAUGAGAGCGCGGGAGCCCCAGGCCCUUUCAGAUCAGGCCCCAGGACUGAAUCACUCACUGAGGGCAUCCCCAAGAGUAAGGCGAGGGCACCUCCGGCUUGAGCAGUCGGAGAGACCGUGUGUACCUCGGGCUCCUGCCCACUGCUCUGUGCAGGACAUGAUGAGGUGGAGUCGCUCUCUCCGGGGCUCAGCCCCUCUAGUGGGAGCAGACAGCAGAGAGGGCUCCCGAUAUGACUCAGUAAGAAAGCACCAGCCAGGGGAGAGGAGGGGCUGGCUGAUCCCUGGGGACUAAGUUCCAGUAAGACAGCCGUGAGACGUUCUGGCUAUGUGAUAGGUGGAGGACUUGAUUGACAACUGUCGGGCUUUCCCAAAGUCCAGCUGAAGCUACAGUUAACAAGGACAAACCAAGCACCAACCCAGAACUGCAGAGACAAAGCCUGAGUCAGGGUCCCCAGCUAUCGCCUCCACAGUUCCUGAGUCUGCAAUAUUGCCCCUGCGACUGAAGGGCUUGCGGCCAUUCCCACAGAGGCUGUGGGAGCUGCUAAUCCAGUAGCCUCAGUUAUUUAUCCAGCCUUUAUCAGGACAAUCAUAGACCCUCAUAGCCACCUGCAGGAGAUUAAAAUCUGGCCAAUGAUGCCGGGAGGAGACCUCAGUCAGUUGCUGAACUGACACAGCUGUCUUCACCACCACCCUGAGGCUGAGCUGUGUGGGAGCCUCUGCCUAGGCCACGGCAACUUCAGCUGAUGCUCAGAGGACGGUGUCCCCUGGAUCUUCCGAUGUCCCUGCCCACACGCGCUUCAGCCUUCAUGAUGACAAACUUAACUGAAUGAGGAAGACGUUGACAGCUAGUGCAAAGGACUGGCUGAGUGAAGGGGGCUCUGCUGGCAUUCUGGGAACUCUGCUGGCAUUCUGGGGGCUCCGCUGGCAUUUUGGGGGCUCGGCUAGCAUUCUGGGGGCUCCGAUGGCAUUCUGGGGGGCUUGGCUAGCAUUCUGGGGGCUCCGCUGGCAUUCUGGGGACUCUGCUGGCAUUCUGGGGUCUCCACUGGCAUUCUGGGACCCUCCUUGCUAUAAACUGUCUAUAUAUAUUUUUUUUUAAUCACAGAUGGAGUUUUAUCUAACUGUCUUUUGUCUUUUAUCACAGGUAGAGUAGACCAAGCUAGUUGCAUGCAGGGGCUGCUAAUCCCAGACACACAAGCCACCUAUAGUGGAGGACAAAAGAGUCCAGUGAACAACUGUGAGCAGAGACUUUGGGGAGCUGAAGCUGGGAAGGACUGCUGGGGUGCAGCAAAGGAGAGCGAUGCCAGUGAGUAGAGACUUCAGAAGAUAGAAGGCUGUAAAGGACCGAGACUGAAGUUGAGCGACUACUGAUGGCCAGCGGUGAGUGCAUCGCUCAGCCCUCAUCAGAGAAGCUUCGUGCAGUAGAUGGAAAUUAACACAGAGACCCACAGCUGGUCAAGAAGCAGAGAAUAAGAGGCUACAGAAUGCUCGACCCUAAGGGGACAUCUCUAUCACACAUCUCCCCUCCCAAGGCAUGGGGAUUAUUGUGGAAGAAGGGCCGGAAAGAGAGUAAGGUGGUGGAUGGACAUAAAGAAACGGUGUUUCCCCCACAGCAGGGCAUCAGCGCGUGUGAACUCACGGCAGUGUGGGCAAUGUGACGGUGUUGCCUAAGCUCAAGCCAGACCGAAUCCAGGAGCGGGAGGGAGGUAUGCACAAAAACUCACCCUUAGUGAAGGAACUGUUGGCUGCUGGGAGACAGGGAGUCGGUGUUCUUUAAGGGCGAGGCCCCCAGUUGGAUGACCAUAUUCCAUUGGAAGACACACAUCCAAGAGUCCAUGGCAGCACCAAACAUACUUGAAGGGUUAAAAAGAAAAAAAAAAAAAAGUCGGGUAGGGAAGUAGGGUAGAUGAGGAACAGUGGCAGAGGGUGACUAUGACCGAAACAGACUAUGAACUUCUAUGAACUAACAAAAAAGGAGAAAAGAGUUACGCCAUAUUGUGACUGCUAAAACUUUGUAUAAACCUCAUUUUGCAUAUCUAUCCAUUCAUGAGAAGACCACACACACAUCUUUGUCUGUUUUGGCUUAUUUUGAGACAGGGCUAAACAUAGUCCUGGUUAACCCGAGUUUAUUAUGUACACCAGGCUGGCCUUGAGUUUAACGUAAUCCUCCUGCCUCUGCCUCUUGCAUCCCGAGUGCUAGGAUUACAGCCUUGUACUACCACUUAUUUUUAAAUAUUAUCUUGUGAAAUGUGAUUGACAAUCAAAUGCACUUUGUGCUAUGUGCUGGGGAUGAGGACCAGUGUGCACGAAGCCCCGAGUCCAACCCGCAGCAUUGCACAAGCCAAGCAUCCUGGCUAUCCUAGCACUCAGGAGAAAGAGGCUGGAGGAUCAGGAGUUCAGGAACAUCCUUGGCCACAAAUUCAAAGCCAGCCUGGGCUAUAGGAGUCGCUUUCUCCAAAAAGAAAAACCUCAUUUAUAAAAGGAAAUGGAACAACUUGUUAAAAAGGUGAUAUAAAGAGCAAAAAGUUUUAAUCAGCCUCUUUGGGGGGGGCUAAAAAAAGGCCGCAAUGAAACACCAAAAUUGACGUUUCAAAGUAAUCUCAGUUCAAAAAGAAUAUUUUUUUUCAUGCAUGGUGGGAAUAUAAAUCAGU